UAUGUAUUCCCUCCGUCCGAAAAUACUUGUCAUCAAAGUGGAUAAAAAGGAAUGUAUUUAGAACUAAUAUACAUCUAGAUACAUCCCCUUUAAUUCAUUUUGAGGACAAGUAUUUCUGGGCGGAGGGAGUAAUUU
rfam:Triticum aestivum genome assembly, contig: Triticum_aestivum_CS42_TGACv1_scaffold_328305_4BS